rnacentral:misc_RNA from 1 species
GAAAUGCGAUAAGUAAUGUGAUUUGCAGAAUUCAGUGAAUCAUCGAAUCUUUGAACGCACCUUGCGCUCCUUGGUAUUCCUUGGAGCAUGCCUGUUUGAGUAUCAUGAAAUCUUCAAAGUAAAUCUUUUGUUAACUCAAUUGGUUUCUACUUUGGUAUUGGAGGUCUUUGCAGCUUCACACCUGCUCCUCUUUGUUCAUUAGCUGGAUCUCAGUGUUAUGCUUGGUUCCACUCGGCGUGAUAAGUUAUCUAUCGCUGAGGACACUGUAAAAGGUGGCCAAGGUAAAUGCAGAUGAACCGCUUCUAAUAGUCCAUUGACUUGGACAAUACUUUUAUGAUCUGAUCUCAAAUCAGGUAGGACUACCCGCUGAACUUAAGC